UUCCUUGUAGCUCAGUUGGUAAAGAAUCUGCCUACAAUGCAGGAGACCCAGGUUCAAUCCCUGGGUUGGGAA
rnacentral:tRNA from 1 species